GUGCCAGCAGCCGCGGUAAUACGUAGGGUGCGAGCGUUAAUCGGAAUUACUGGGCGUAAAGCGAGCGCAGACGGUUACUUAAGCAGGAUGUGAAAUCCCCGGGCUCAACCUGGGAACUGCGUUCUGAACUGGGUGACUAGAGUGUGUCAGAGGGAGGUAGAAUUCCACGUGUAGCAGUGAAAUGCGUAGAGAUGUGGAGGAAUACCGAUGGCGAAGGCAGCCUCCUGGGAUAACACUGACGUUCAUGCUCGAAAGCGUGGGUAGCAAACAGGAUUAGAUACCCUGGUAGUCCACGCCCUAAACGAUGUCAAUUGGCUGUUGGGCAACUUGAUUGCUUAGUAGCGUAGCUAACGCGUGAAAUUGACCGCCUGGGGAGUACGGUCGCAAGAUUAAAACUCAAAGGAAUUGACGGGGACCCGCACAAGCGGUGGAUGAUGUGGAUUAAUUCGAUGCAACGCGAAGAACCUUACCUGGUCUUGACAUGUACGGAAUCCUCCAGAGACGGAGGGGUGCCUUCGGGAACCGUAACACAGGUGCUGCAUGGCUGUCGUCAGCUCGUGUCGUGAGAUGUUGGGUUAAGUCCCGCAACGAGCGCAACCCUUGUCAUUAGUUGCCAUCAUUUAGUUGGGCACUCUAAUGAGACUGCCGGCGACAAGCCGGAGGAAGGUGGGGGAUGACGUCAAGUCCUCAUGGCCCUUAUGACCAGGGCUUCACACGUCAUACAAUGGUCGGUACAGAGGGUAGCCAAACCGCGAGGUGGA
rnacentral:rRNA from 1 species